CCCGGCUACUGAAGGGCGAAGGCGGGGUUCACCCUGGACAGGUCGCCAGUCUGUCUCAGGGCCGUAAUAAUAAAUCUUUCAUUGAAUUCCCUCUGGUCCUGAGUCAUUCUCACUUAUCAGACACACCUUUACCCGGCACCGGACGCUGUACCAAAUGUGAACCAGUACCCUAACCCAGUACUGGUUCACGAACCAAAUUCACGAACCAGGUACUGGAUAAGGGUACUAGUGGAAUCCGUGUACCGGUACUUGACCGGUUCUGGUUUGUGGCCCGGAGGUAGGGGACCCCUGGAAAUCAAGGGUUUGCAGCCCUCGGGAUACAGUACCAGACAUGGACUGGUCCUCGUGACGUGUCAAAAACUGGUACCCUAACCCUAACUGCUGUUAGUACCAGGUUUGAGUACCAGUACUGGACAUGAUACCGUAUGCAGUACCAGAUGUGGUACCAGCACUUUACCGAGGGGCAAACUGGGUCUGGAUGAGAUACCAGGACCAGGAGGCCCAGAGGCUGGGGACGUGGUAACAUGUCAAAAAAAACAACCAGUUGGGGACACCCAAAACGUACAUUUUUGACAUGAAGGAGUCUUUAACCAAACAUCGAAAUGUGACGAGUUGGUAGUGAGAAUGUGUUGGUGCAGCCAACCAAACACACCUGAGUCCAACAAAAGUCCCAUAAAUGAGCAUUCAUGGUGGAUCAUUCACUAAACUAUAACCUGGACCUCAUUUCCAAUACUGUUCAUGAGAAAUCUCCAGAAAUGUUGUCGUCCGUGCUGAAAAAAGGUCGACUCCUCCCCUUUGGGGCAACAAUCGAGGCGAGGUGAAAAAAAAAACCUAAAAGAAAAAAAAAA